UUUCCGUAGGUGAACCUGCGGAAGGAUCAUUAGUGAAUAAACAAGUGCAGGUUGUGCUGGCCUUCUUGGGUAUGUGCACGCCUGCCAGCUUCAUUCCAUCUUCCCACCUGUGCACCCUGUGUAGAUUCUGUAUGCUAUUGUCAAGCCUUUAUUGUGCUUGGUUGAGAGGAGUUGCUUGUUUCACCAACAAGCUCUUCUUGGGCAUGCAGGUCUAUGUUUAUAUCAACACCAUAUGAAUGUUUUAGAAUGUGCUUUAGGCUUUUUGGCCUUUAAAUUAUAUACAACUUUCAACAACGGAUCUCUUGGCUCUC
rnacentral:misc_RNA from 1 species